rnacentral:rRNA from 1 species
AUGAACGCUGGCGGUCUGCUUAACACAUGCAAGUCGAACGGGAGUAGCAAUACUCCAGUGGCGGACGGGUGAGUAACGCGUGAGAAUCUGCCUUUUGGUCGGGGACAACCACUGGAAACGGUGGCUAAUACCGGAUGUGCCUGCGGGUAAAAGAUUAAUUGCCAGAAGAGGAGCUCGCGUCUGAUUAGCUAGUUGGUAGGGUAAAAGCCUACCAAGGCAUCGAUCAGUAGCUGGUCUGAGAGGACGAUCAGCCACACUGGGACUGAGACACGGCCCAGACCCCUACGGGAGGCAGCAGUGGGGAAUUUUCCGCAAUGGGCGAAAGCCUGACGGAGCAAGACCGCGUGAGGGAAGAAGGCUCUUGGGUCGUAAACCUCUUUUGUUAGGGAAGAACACAAUGACGGUACCUAACGAAUCAGCCUCGGCUAACUCCGUGCCAGCAGCCGCGGUAAUACGGAGGAGGCAAGCGUUAUCCGGAAUUAUUGGGCGUAAAGCGUCCGCAGGUGGCGAUUCAAGUCUGCGGUCAAAGACUGGGGCUUAACCCUGGAAAGGCCGUGGAAACUGAAAAGCUAGAGUGCAGUAGGGGUAGAGGGAAUUCCCGGUGUAGCGGUGAAAUGCGUAGAGCUCGGGAAGAACAUCGGUGGCGAAAGCGCUCUGCUGGACUGCAACUGACACUCAGGGACGAAAGCUAGGGGAGCGAAUGGGAUUAGAUACCCCAGUAGUCCUAGCCGUAAACGAUGGAUACUAGGUGUGGCUUGUAUCGACCCGAGCCGUGCCGUAGCUAACGCGUUAAGUAUCCCGCCUGGGGAGUACGCACGCAAGUGUGAAACUCAAAGGAAUUGACGGGGGCCCGCACAAGCGGUGGAGUAUGUGGUUUAAUUCGAUGCAACGCGAAGAACCUUACCAGGGCUUGACAUGUCGCGAAUCUUAGGGAAACCUAAGAGUGCCUUCGGGAGCGCGAACACAGGUGGUGCAUGGCUGUCGUCAGCUCGUGUCGUGAGAUGUUGGGUUAAGUCCCGCAACGAGCGCAACCCUCGUCUUUAGUUGCCAGCAUUAAGUUGGGCACUCUAGAGAGACUGCCGGUGACAAACCGGAGGAAGGUGGGGAUGACGUCAAGUCAGCAUGCCCCUUACGUCCUGGGCUACACACGUACUACAAUGCGACGGACAAAGGGCAGCAAGCCAGCGAUGGCAAGCCAAUCCCAUAAACCGUGGCUCAGUUCAGAUCGCAGGCUGCAACUCGCCUGCGUGAAGGAGGAAUCGCUAGUAAUUGCAGGUCAGCAUACUGCAGUGAAUUCGUUCCCGGGCCUUGUACACACCGCCCGUCACACCAUGGAAGUUGGCCACGCCCGAAGUCGUUACCCUAACCGCUUGCGGAGGGGGACGCCGAAGGCAGGGCUGAUGACUGGGGUG